GAUGAACGCUGGCGGCGUGCCUCAAACAUGCAAGUCGAGCGGGGCUAUGUAAUAUCGCAAGGUAGAACAUAGCCUAGCGGCGAACGGGUGAGUAACACGUGGGUAACCUGCCUGGAAGACAGGGAUAACGAUUCGAAAGGGUCGCUAAUACCUGAUAAUAUCCUUUCAUCGCAUGGUGAUAGGAAGAAAGGGGAAACCCGCUUUCAGAUGGGCCCGCGUCCCAUCAGCUAGUUGGUAAGGUAAAGGCUUACCAAGGCGACGACGGGUAGCCGGUCUGAGAGGAUGUACGGCCACACUGGGACUGAGAUACGGCCCAGACUCCUACGGGAGGCAGCAGUUGGGAAUCUUAGGCAAUGGACGAAAGUCUGACCUAGCGACGCCGCGUGAGGGAAGAAGGCCUUCGGGUUGUAAACCUCUGUCAUGGGGAAGAAGUAAGUGACGGUACCCAACGAGGAAGCCCUGCUAACUACGUG
rnacentral:rRNA from 1 species